GAAGGUUCGGGACAGGAUACUGUUUGACUCCUGUGCACUGGCGCGCUGACGUGCGGCGUAAUACAUCCGCUAGCCGCAUCUUUUCCGCGCGCUGUUGGGCUGUGGCGCGUAAGGGUCUCAAACCCACUUGGCGCGCAGCGUGGAGAGCGGCGGCUGCGGCCCGACAGCUCUUGGCCCAGCAAAAAGAUGAUCACGUGAAGGGAGACGCUUGUGCUCCUGUUGCUCACAAAAUAAUAGCCUAGUCUCGAAGGCUAGCGGAGUAGCUCGGUCUGAGUCAUACGCAACUGCUGAGUGUCUGGUCGCGAGCGCGAGAUGAGUACACAGGACGACUCAUGCUGCCGAACAGGCUCCAAAAGCAUCUCAUUUUCCUUGCCACAUCCGGGCUAAGGAGUGCAGAGGCUGGAGUUACGCCAUGGCAGGAAGCGGCCUAGAGACUUGGGAAAUCCAGAGAGGCCGCGCAGGUCUGCUUUUCUCAUCACCAGGCAGUCGCCCAAUGCUCCCAACACUCCUGGAGGAAGUGGCCGUGGAGACAGUGCUGUCAUUUCGGGCAAAGGUGGGGGGCGGGGGGCGGAGCAGGACCUGGGAAACCUUGGUAGUUGUAAGCGCAAGCUGCACCGAAGACUUCUCCGGAGGCGAGAGCGUGCACAGUCCGGAGAGCAUCAGUCUAAACUGCAUGUGCAGCUGUGGAGUAAAGGGGCAGGAUUUAGAAGCAGUAAGUUUGGA
rnacentral:lncRNA from 1 species